GAUGAACGCUGGCGGCGUGCCUAAUACAUGCAAGUCGAGCGAACAGAUAAGGAGAUUGCUCCUUUGACGUAAGCGGCGGACGGGUGAGUAACACGUGGGUAACCUACCUAUAAGAAUGGAAUAAAUCCGGGAAACCGGGGCUAAUGCAGGAUAACAUUUAGAAAUGCAUGGUUCUAAAGUGAAAGAUGGAUUUGAUAUCACCUAUAGAUGGACCCGCGCCGUAUUAGCUAGUUGGUAAGGUAACGGCUAACCAAGGCAACGAUACGUAGCCGACCUGAGAGGGUGAUCGGCCACACUGGAACUGAGACACGGUCCAGACUCCUACGGGAGGCAGCAGUAGGGAAUCUUCCGCAAUGGGCGAAAGCCUGACGGAGCAACGCCGCGUGAGUGAUGAAGGUCUUCGGAUCGUAAAACUCUGUUAUUAGGGAAGAACAAAUGUUUAAGUAACUGUGCACGUCUUGACGGUACCUAAUCAGAAAGCCACGGCUAACUACGUG
rnacentral:rRNA from 1 species